rnacentral:tRNA from 1 species
GCUGAGAUGGCGGAGCUUGGUCUAACGCGCUAGACUGGAAAUCUAGUACGCUUCGGCGUGCGGGGGUUCAAAUCCCUCUCUCAGCG